rnacentral:rRNA from 1 species
ACGCACGCUGGCGGCGUGCUUAACACAUGCAAGUCGAACGGAAAGGCCCUGCUUUUGUGGGGUGCUCGAGUGGCGAACGGGUGAGUAACACGUGAGUAACCUGCCCUUGACUUUGGGAUAACUUCAGGAAACUGGGGCUAAUACCGGAUAGGAGCUCCUGCUGCAUGGUGGGGGUUGGAAAGUUUCGGCGGUUGGGGAUGGACUCGCGGCUUAUCAGCUUGUUGGUGGGGUAGUGGCUUACCAAGGCUUUGACGGGUAGCCGGCCUGAGAGGGUGACCGGCCACAUUGGGACUGAGAUACGGCCCAGACUCCUACGGGAGGCAGCAGUGGGGAAUAUUGCACAAUGGGCGGAAGCCUGAUGCAGCAACGCCGCGUGCGGGAUGACGGCCUUCGGGUUGUAAACCGCUUUCGCCUGUGACGAAGCGUGAGUGACGGUAAUGGGUAAAGAAGCACCGGCUAACUACGUA